GACGAACGCUGGCGGCGUGCUUAACACAUGCAAGUCGAACGGAAAGGCCCUGCUUUUGUGGGGUGCUCGAGUGGCGAACGGGUGAGUAACACGUGAGUAACCUGCCCUUGACUUUGGGAUAACUUCAGGAAACUGGGGCUAAUACCGGAUAGGAGCUCCUGCUGCAUGGUGGGGGUUGGAAAGUCUCGGCGGUUGGGGAUGGACUCGCGGCUUAUCAGCUUGUUGGUGGGGUAGUGGCUUACCAAGGCUUUGACGGGUAGCCGGCCUGAGUGGGUGACCGGCCACAUUGGGACUGAGAUACGGCCCAGACUCCUACGGGAGGCAGCAGUGGGAAAUAUUGCACAAUGGGCGGAAGCCUGAUGCAGCAACGCCGCGUGCGGGAUGACGGCCUUCGGGUUGUAAACCGCUUUCGCCUGUGACGAAGCGUGAGUGACGGUAAUGGGUAAAGAAGCACCGGCUAACUACGUG
rnacentral:rRNA from 1 species